rnacentral:rRNA from 1 species
UACGUAGGGAGCAAGCGUUAUCCGGAUUUACUGGGCGUAAAGCGCGCGUAGGCGGACGCUUAAGUGUGGCCUGAAAGCCCCCGGCUCAACCGGGGAGGGCGGCUGCAAACUGGGCGUCUUGAGGGGGAUAGAGGAGAGUGGAAUUCCUGGUGUAGCGGUGGAAUGCGCAGAUAUCAGGAGGAACACCGAUGGCGAAGGCAGGUCUCUGGGCCGCAACUGACGCUGAGGAGCGAAAGCAUGGGGAGCGAACAGG